rnacentral:rRNA from 1 species
UUGAGCGGGGGGACAACAUUUGGAAACGAAUGCUAAUACCGCAUAACAACUUUAAACACAAGUUUUAAGUUUGAAAGAUGCAAUUGCAUCACUCAAAGAUGAUCCCGCGUUGUAUUGGCUAGUUGGUGAGGUAAAGGCUCACCAAGGCGAUGAUACAUAGCCGACCUGAGAGGGUGAUCGGCCACAUUGGGACUGAGACACGGCCCAAACUCCUACGGGAGGCAGCAGUAGGGAAUCUUCGGCAAUGGACGAAAGUCUGACCGAGCAACGCCGCGUGAGUGAAGAAGGUUUUCGGAUCGUAAAACUCUGUUGGUAGAGAAGAACGUUGGUGAGAGUGGAAAGCUCAUCAAGUGACGGUAACUACCCAGAAAGGGACGGCUAACUACGUGCCAGCAGCCGCGGUAAUACGUAGGUCCCGAGCGUUGUCCGGAUUUAUUGGGCGUAAAGCGAGCGCAGGUGGUUUAUUAAGUCUGGUGUAAAAGGCAGUGGCUCAACCAUUGUAUGCAUUGGAAACUGGUAGACUUGAGUGCAGGAGAGGAGAGUGGAAUUCCAUGUGUAGCGGUGAAAUGCGUAGAUAUAUGGAGGAACACCGGUGGCGAAAGCGGCUCUCUGGCCUGUAACUGACACUGAGGCUCGAAAGCGUGGGGAGCAAACAGGAUUAGAUACCCUGGUAGUCCACGCCGUAAACGAUGAGUGCUAGAUGUAGGGAGCUAUAAGUUCUCUGUAUCGCAGCUAACGCAAU